rnacentral:rRNA from 1 species
GACGAACGCUGGCGGCGUGCUUAACACAUGCAAGUCGAACGGAAAGGCCCUGCUUGCAGGGUACUCGAGUUGCGAACGGGUGAGUAACUCGUGGGUGAUCUGCCCUGCACUUCGGGAUAAGCCUGGGAAACUGGGUCUAAUACCGGAUAGGAGCCAUUUUUAGUGUGAUGGUUGGAAAGUUUUUUCGGUGUAGGAUGAGCUCGCGGCCUAUCAGCUUGUUGGUGUGGUAAUGUCCUACCAAGGCGGCGACGGGUAGCCGGCCUGCGAGGGUGGACGGCCACAUUGAGACUGAGAUACGGCACAGACUCCUACGGGAGGCAGAAGGGGGGAAUAUUGCACAAUGGGCGCAAGCCUGAUGCAGCGACGCCGCGUGGGGGAUGACGGCCUUCGGGUUGUAAACUCCUUUCGCUAGGGACGAAGCUUUUUGUGACGGUACCUAGAGAAGAAGCCCCGGCUAACUACGUG